rnacentral:rRNA from 1 species
GACGAACGCUGGCGGCGUGCUUAACACAUGCAAGUCGAACGGACAGGCCCUGCUUUUGUGGGGUGCUCGAGAGGGGAACGGGUGAGUAAAACGUGUGUAACCUGCCCCUGACUUUGGGGUAACAUCAGGGAACUGGGGCUAUUACCGGAUAGGAGCUCCUGCUGCAUGGUGGUGAUUGGAAAGAUCCGGCGGUUGGGGAUGGACUCGCUGGUUAUCCGCUAGUUGGGGGAGUUGGGGAUUACAAAGGCUUUGACGGGUAGCCGGCCUGAGAGCGUGACCGGCCACAUUGGGACUGCGAGACGGCCCAGACUCCAACGUUAGGCAGCAGUCGAGAAUAUUGCGCAGCAGGCCGAAGCCUGUGGUAGCAACGCCGCGUGCGGAAUGACCGCUUACGAGUGAUAAACCGCUGUCUCCGGUGACGAAGACUGAGUGACGGUAAUGGGUAAAAAAGCACCGGCUAACUACGUG